rnacentral:rRNA from 1 species
AGAGUUUGAUCCUGGCUCAGGAUGAACGCUGGCGGCAUGCCUAAUACAUGCAAGUCGAACGAGAGGAAGGAAAGCUUGCUUUUCUGAAUCUAGUGGCGAACGGGUGAGUAACACGUAGGUAACCUGCCCAUGUGCCCGGGAUAACUUCUGGAAACGGAUGCUAAAACCGGAUAGGUAGCAGACAAGCAUUUGACUGCUAUUAAAGUGGCUAAGGCCAUGAACAUGGAUGGACCUGCGGUGCAUUAGCUAGUUGGUGAGGUAACGGCCCACCAAGGCGACGAUGCAUAGCCGGCCUGAGAGGGCGGACGGCCACAUUGGGACUGAGACACGGCCCAAACUCCUACGGGAGGCAGCAGUAGGGAAUUUUCGUCAAUGGGGGGAACUCUGAACGAGCAAUGCCGCGUGAGUGAGGAAGGUCUUCGGAUCGUAAAGCUCUGUUGUAAGAGAAAAACGACAUUCAUAGGGAAUGAUGAGUGAGUGAUGGUAUCUUACCAGAAAGUCACGGCUAACUACGUGCCAGCAGCCGCGGUAAUACGUAGGUGGCGAGCGUUAUCCGGAAUGAUUGGGCGUAAAGGGUGCGUAGGUGGCAGAACAAGUCUGGAGUAAAAGGUAUGGGCUCAACCCGUACUGGCUCUGGAAACUGUUCAGCUAGAGAACAGAAGAGGACGGCGGAACUCCAUGUGUAGCGGUAAAAUGCGUAGAUAUAUGGAAGAACACCGGUGGCGAAGGCGGCCGUCUGGUCUGUUGCUGACACUGAAGCACGAAAGCGUGGGGAGCAAAUAGGAUUAGAUACCCUAGUAGUCCACGCCGUAAACG